UGACCUCUCCGCAGUGGCCGUGAGGUCGCAUGACUCCUCCGCGCGUGAUGCCUCUCUGUUGCUACGGGGCCUAGUAUUGGGGUCGUGCCAAUGCCAAUCGGUGGGUGAAACCAGAUGUUUUGCUUGUUUCGAUUGGUUUGGCACGGUAUUUUAAUCCCUGAUCUCGAACAUGCUGUAUAUGUAGCUUAUGUACUGAUUCUAAUCUAAGAACGCAACUUUGUGGAACUAAAUAUUUCAAGUUGAUUUUCAAAUAAAAUGGUAGUGGUGAUGCUGAUAAUGAUUCCCUGAAUUGAUAAACCCUAAAUGGUUGUAAAUUCUGGUUAUUUUCUUUUAUUAGAAAUUUGUCAAAACAAAUUGCUCACGUAAUGGGAACUAUGUAGCGAUGAAUCUACAAAUGCUUUCUUUUGUUGCAACCUUUGUUUUAUUCCCAUUGAGGCCAAGAAAAUUAAGGGAACCAUUUGUUAUUUGUGAAUGAAAGAAUUUCUUGCGACUUAAAUCUGCAAGGUUUUCAUACUAAAACUAAUCUGUAAGGUAUAACACAAAAUUCUCUGCAUGGUUUUCAAAGCUUAUGUGAGCAAUAUGCCAUCGAGUCACUACAUAACAUGUGAUCCAUUAUCAUUAUUUUUUUUUAAUAAUUAUAUUGCUUAUAAUAUCAUGGCAUGAAAAAAUAAGUUCACAUAUACCAUAUACUGCAUCCAGUUAAUCAACUUCAUCAAUCUUAUAAACAAAAAUUUAAACCACCAUAAUUAAUUCUCAACAUCAUGUAAAUAUGUUGUAAAAGAAUCUAAGCGAUAUAGAUAAUACACAAAAAAAACAUAACUCAAUUAUUCAUGUCAAUGAACCAAUGCCAAUUUAUAUAACAAAAUUACAAAUGUUGUUCUGAGCGAUAUAUAUAUAAUCUCCUCUUGUUUGUUUGUUUGGAAAAAAUAGUUUUAUCUAAGCAAUACCAACUUGAGCAUGACUUAGAAUCUAACCAUCUAGAUUGUUCUAGCCUGAAUGAUUCUUGUGCGAUUGGAACCUUUUCAAAACAAUGCCUAUAUGUCACUUUUUUUUAAUCCUUAGUUUAUCUCUAAAAUUAUGAAUUAUGCUUGAAUAUCUUUGUGGCUAUUCUCCUAGGAUACAGAUACAGAUAAACAAAGUGCAUACUUACACUGUUAAACCUGGAGAUAAAGAAUGCAUAUGCAAAGGAACUAGAAUCAUGCACAGCUCAAUUUAUAUCGUAUUUUUCUUGUGUUUAUCUAAUAUGUGCUUACAGUUUUUUGAUUUUACUGAAAAUUAGUAUCAUUGGCAGGUAGUUCAAUAUUUCAUGGAUGUUGUGUCAGUCUGUCAGAUUUCUUGUCCAUGCAUUUUACUAAUUCAGAGCAAGGUUCUAAAAUUCGCUAGGUGUUAGUCGGGCACUGGACCAAUGCCUAGCACCUAGGCCUCCAAGGUGGGGACUAGGUGCCGUUAGACGAUUUACAUGGUAUCAACAUAAAUUAUAUAAUAAAUCAUAUUCUGUAACUCCAACACAUUAACAUCUAAUUUAAAAUGAGUUCAAAUUUACACAACUAAUAAAAUAUCACAAAUUUAUUCUACUUCUUCUCCAUAAUUUUCAACAACUUUUUCUUCAUCGGACACAAACUCAAUACAUCUUUGUGAUCCUCCUCUUUUUCUCUGGAUGCAAAAUUAUACUCGUGAAGUUGUCACUCUAGAGCUUCUUUAGGGUUGUAGUUUUUCAUCUACUCCUUUGCUUCAUCAACCAUUUACCAAGUGAUCUCGAAACCUAGUUCAACCUUAUGAUCUUCCCCAUCAUCCACAAUCCAACCUUUGCAUUUGAAACAUCUUUUGCAAUAAGGACAUCAACAUUCCUUUUUUUUUUUUUUUUUUAAUUUGUUCAACAAUCUAGCAUUAAAUUGGAUAAAUACUAGAUUGUUCAACUUGUUGACAUCCAACCUAUUUUUUUUCUUGUUGGACCAGAGUUUAGGGUUUAUAAAACUUAAGCCCAACAAAAGAAAGGGGUUACGUUUCAUUUUUUUAAAUUGGACUUUAAAUUUAAAAGCUCAAACUAAGAAAAACAUGAAAACCUAUACUAUUUCCACGGUGCCUAGAUGAUUCAACUGAUUAUUCGGCACCUAGGCCCAUUUAAUCCCGCCUAGGGGCCAAGGGCACCUAGGUUGGCCGACUAGCAUAUUUUCGAUGCGGCUAGCUGAUGCCUAGCGCCUAUACGGCCUCCUAGGCCAUUUUUGAGAACACUGAUUCAGAAGAUCAAAACAUUAGCAAAGAAGAAGGUUGUUGAAGCAUACUCAAGUCCUUCAUUGAGUUCAUAACUUUGAGAGAAACAGAAAAUUUUCGAUCUAGUAGGCAAGAAAAUAAAAACUCUGUUACAGUGACAACUAUUCACCAGGUUCAUUUUUUGUAAUUAACAAUGUUAUUUCCUUCAUAUUGACAUCGAUGGUUAGGAUAUAGCUGAACACAUUUUUCUUUUCUUUCUGUCAAAAGGUCUAGAAUGGGAUGUUGUUUUCAUCGUGAAGGUAUGCAAAUGCAUCUGCCAAUAGAAAUUGCAGCUCCAUUUUCACUCAAUUUAAGUAUUGUGCAAUUUGCAUUCCAAGUAUUAUUUUGUGUUAAUUUUCUCUACACGUUUCAAUGUAUUUAUUUUUUCCAUCUAUAAUUGAUCUCUUAUGUUUCUUUGUGUUUUUUGUUUCAAUUAUUAUCUAAUAUUAAUGAAUUAACAAAACUUGUAAGGGCAAUCAUGAGUUAAUGCAAAUUAAAUGUGUGAUAAAAGAAAUUAAUAAUAAUACUUUCAUAUGGAGAUGGAAACCUUUUCUCCUUUCCUUUAGCUUGACUUUUUGAACUUCCUAAAGGUUCUUCCUUUUCCUUUCUUAUAAAUAAAAUCCUCUUCCUUUUUAAUGAAUUCCAUUUCAGAUCUCAUUGAUCAUAUACAAUUAAAUUCAUCAGAAUAAUAAUUUAUACUCGUGUGUGUGUGUGAAGAAGGCAAAAAUGAAGACAAAUUAAAGUAGGUAGUGUUAACUAAAUGGAGCUUAGCCCAAUGAUUAGAGUUUGUCAACUAAGCAACGGUUGAGGGAUGGUUGUUAGUGGCUAUCUCCCUUUGAAUGGAAUUUGAGGAGAAGUUGAUAUUUUCUACAAAAAGGCCACUAGAACCUCAAACCAAAACACACAAAAACCAUCUUUCUUCUUCUCGCUAAGUGCUCUUAGUUCUAUUUAAUUGUUAGUAUCAGUCUGCUAUAGUACGAAACAAUUAAUUUCAGUUAACUGUCUAAUUAUUAUAGUCCUAUUCUUAAUCUAAAUUUUUCUCGGCAUGCAUCAAUGCAAGCCAAAGUGUGACCUUGUUAGUAUAAUGCAGUUCCAAAAUUAUGAUUCCUGUUGAAGAAUUUUCUCAUAUCCAUCCUCCCAUCUCCAAUUCACCAUUGUCAUGAUGUGUCGCUAGUUUGACAUGAAACGGAAAUAGACUCAUUUUUAUCUACUACGGAUGGACUUGAAAAGGACAGGUAGUUGAUGAAGAACCUCUUUAUGAGACAAUGUUCAAAAAGGUUCAGGGAGCAAUAUUGUAAAGCGUAAUACCCUAGGGAAACACCACUUGUCUAUCUAAUAUUGUAUCAUACAGUUCUUUCAGAAUGAAAACAAGGGCAACCAUAGACAUCAAAUUUCAGUAUGCACCAUCAUUGUAGCUUGACACACAAUUAGUUGUUAGUAAAAUUCCAAAAUGCAAAAAGAAUAUCAUUGUAACUUGAAGAGGAAAAUGAUAUUGCUGGCUUGGCCUUGUAUGACUCUGGACCUUGUGUCAUCCUAUCCAGGUAAGUGAAAUGUAAGAUUUAUAUUCUCAAGCUGGUGGAUGAUGACAUGCUAAUAGUUUAAUGACUUAUUUAUUGCUUUGCAGCUGCUUGGCUUGUUCUGUGAUCAGGGACUGUGUAGGAACCCUUUGCCAAUAUCAAAGCACAGGUUCAAUUAGCUGGUGCUUCCAGCACCAACAAACUAGGCAUACAAGUGACAUUUUCAAGUUGGGUGUAUCUACUGUGGAACACAUUCAGCUAAUUGAGACUCGAAUUUCUCUGUUUUUUAAAUAAUAAUGCCAAAACUCAUGAAGAUGUAAACUUCAACAUUUUAUUUCUGCUUUUGCCUUCUGAUGUGGAAUCUCAUCAAGACUUUAUUUAUGUUUUAAUAAUGAGUUCGUUAGCAUUUUGACGCUAGCGUUGGUUGUAGGCCAAUGAUAAUGAAAUUCCUUUGCUUCAUGAAUAUAAUGGUGUUCACCAAGGUGCAACAACUCUUGAGGAGCGUAGGCUUUUAUAUGUUGUUGCAAUGACUCGUGCUCGAAAGAAGUAUAUUGUGUAUGUCAUCAUGGAUUCCAGUUGGCAGGUCAUCUUCUGGAGACACAGGCGCUUUCAGUUGACUUUUCUUUUGGUUAUUCUGAUGAUUUGAAUUUAUGGUUGAAUUUCCUAUUUGUACUAAACCUUGUUUUUCCUUCUUUUAUUGUAUUCUUGUCAGAAUUUCAGAUAUUGGAGUAUACAUUCUUGAUUGA